rnacentral:rRNA from 1 species
UAAUAAUUAAGUAUGUGGCAUAAUAGUGUAAAAUUCUGCUUAGGGGUGAUAGGCUUUACAAAAAUAGCGAUAUCUCGAUUUUUUUAAAGAAGUAUUUAGUACAGUGACAAUCUAGUAGCGCUUAGGUUAUUAGUGUAUGUAAUUAAAUAUUAAUAUAAUAAAGUUGGUGUAAUUGUUUACUAAUUUAAUAAUUGAAUAUAAAUAUAUUAGAAUAUGCAAAAGUUUUAAAAAAGUGAUGUAACAUAUUUUCGUUAUUUAUAAUGUUAGUAUUAGUAUUUAAUAAUUAUUGUGUAUGAACUCGGCAAUAAAACUCUCGACUGUUUAUCAAAAACAUAGCUUAGUGUAAAUAUACUAGGUGAUUUCUGCUCAAUGAAAAAUUAAAUAGCCGCGGUACCCUGACCGUGCAAAGGUAGCGUAAUCAUUUGUCUUUUAAUUAAAGUCUAGUAUGAAGGAAUAUACGAAGGGGUAGCUAUAUUUAACAAUAUUACAAGAAAUUACUUAUUAAGUGAAAAUACUUAAAUAUUAAACAAUAGACGAGAAGACCCUAGAAAUUUAUAAUAUAAAUUUUGUUGGGGCAACAUAGUAACAAGUUAACUUACUAAAAUUUCAAGACGCAUUACGGAUUGAAGAAAUUACUCUAGGGAUAACAGCAUAAUACUUAAGUGUUUGUGACCUCGAUGUUGGAUUAGGGAGUUGUAGCUAAGAAA